UACGGAGGGUGCAAGCGUUAAUCGGAUUUAUUGGGCGUAAAGAGCGUGUAGGCGGCCAGGUAGGUCUGCUGUGAAAACUCGAGGCUUAACCUCGAGCUGUCGGCGGAAACCAUCUGGCUAGAGUCCGGAAGAGGAGAAUGGAAUUCCCGGUGUAGCGGUGAAAUGCGCAGAUAUCGGGAGGAACACCAAUUGCGAAGGCAGCUCGCUGGGACGUUACUGACGCUGAGACGCGAAAGCGUGGGGAGCAAACAGG
rnacentral:rRNA from 1 species